rnacentral:misc_RNA from 1 species
GAUGAAGGCGAGUGUAAUGAACUUGCAUUGUUUUUGUCGGGGCCAUCAGCAUUUGGAGACGCUGCUACUGUCAAAAAUCAUAACAUAGAUGAUGAAAACCAACAAAGGAUGGUUAAAGAAUUGACCGCUGAUUGUUUGAAGAGCUCAAAUCAUUCAGUCGAAUGGGAUUCCCUGGAUGCCAGGGAUGAGAAAUCUCAUGGGCAUAGGAGGACAGCCNNNNNNNNNNNNUGGCGGUUGGAAGAUUGCAAUCGCUGGAGUUAGCUGUCAAGCAAAUUCUUCUAAUGGGCAACCCCUGCGAAAAGUACCUAGUUUAUCAGGAUUUUUAAGUUCCAUGGAUUGUGCAUCCAAAUUCAAGUUGCCAAAGAGUGGUGGUAGGAAAUGGAAGGCACUGGAUAGUAAUAAAGAAUCUGAUACUGCACGCUUGUUUUCUUCACAAUUGACCAGGGGCAUGUGUUCAUAUUAUGAAAAAAGUAAGAGCUGCUUGGAUGGUUGUGAUGAGUGUUAUGAUAAGCAGCUUUAUGGCUGGGGUGGGGUUAUACAGAGCGGUCUCAUUAUCAAAUGCAAUAUAGUCGACCUGUUCAAGUAGUUGUCUGGGCUGUUCUUCUCCUUUGCUUAAUUGUGUUAAUUGUGUUGCGAGCAAUAUAAGGAGGAUAUGAAAUCUUUGUCCUGCAUUUUACACCAGGGGGCAGUAUGUGGAAUGAAGGGGUGCUCUAGACUUCUAGCAGCAGGAUUUAGAAUGCGUGUUCUGGAGAAAGUUCAAUCAUUGUCAUGAAGUGGCUCCCUUGGGGUAUGGGGAGAUUUUUUUUUUUUUUUUUUUGGAAAACAAA